rnacentral:rRNA from 1 species
UUCGUCCAAUUGAAGCAGAGGACAGUGGCGGACGGGUGAGUAACGCGUGAGGAACCUGCCUUUCAAGGGGGACAACAGUUGGAAACGACUGCUAAUACCGCAUGACACAUAGGUGUCGCAUGGCACUUAUGUCAAAGAUUUUAUCGCUGAAAGAUGGCCUCGCGUCUGAUUAGCUAGUUGGUGAGGUAACGGCCCACCAAGCCGACGAUCGGUAGCCGACCUGAGAGGUUGAACGGCCACAUUGGGACUGAGACACGGCCCAGACUCC